CUCUUCCUCUUCUUGCAUUACUCUGCUACAGGAUUUAGCCACAGCUUGACUCUGUACAAGGCCGGGUCCAUGUUGGCACACUGCCUCCUUUUCCAUGUCAGUUAUUGUGGUGGUGUGUACGAGCUGACCUUCCUACCCUGAGGAAAGUAAAACUGUUUAGACCAUCCAAUUCAUUAUCUGGCUAAUUUUACUUCUCCUAC